AACGAUCCUAGCUUGCUAGGAGGCGUCGAGCGGCGGACGGGUGAGUAAUGCAUAGGAAUCUGCCCGGUAGUGGGGGAUAACCUGAGGAAACUCAGGCUAAUACCGCAUACGUCCUACGGGAGAAAGCAGGGGCUCUUCGGACCUUGCGCUAUCGGAUGAGCUUAUGUCGGAUUAGCUGGUUGGUGAGGUAACGGCUCACCAAGGCGACGAUCCGUAGCUGGUCUGAGAGGAUGAUCAGCCACAUCGGGACUGAGACACGGCCCGAACUCCUACGGGAGGCAGCAGUGGGGAAUAUUGGACAAUGGGGGCAACCCUGAUCCAGCCAUGCCGCGUGUGUGAAGAAGGCCCUCGGGUUGUAAAGCACUUUCAGUGAGGAAGAAGGCUUGUCGGUUAAUACCCGGCAAGAAAGACAUCACUCACAGAAGAAGCACCGGCUAACUCCGUGCCAGCAGCCGCGGUAAUACGGAGGGUGCGAGCGUUAAUCGGAAUUACUGGGCGUAAAGCGUGCGUAGGCGGCUUGAUAAGCCGGUUGUGAAAGCCCCGGGCUCAACCUGGGAACGGCAUCCGGAACUGUCAGGCUAGAGUGCAGGAGAGGAAGGUAGAAUUCCCGGUGUAGCGGUGAAAUGCGUAGAGAUCGGGAGGAAUACCAGUGGCGAAGGCGGCCUUCUGGACUGACACUGACGCUGAGGUACGAAAGCGUGGGUAGCAAACAGGAUUAGAUACCCUGGUAGUCCACGCCGUAAACGAUGUCGACUAGCCGUUGGGGUCCUCGAGACCUUUGUGGCGCAGUUAACGCACUAAGUCGACCGCCUGGGGAGUACGGCCGCAAGGUUAAAACUCAAAUGAAUUGACGGGGGCCCGCACAAGCGGUGGAGCAUGUGGUUUAAUUCGAUGCAACGCGAAGAACCUUACCUACCCUUGACAUCGUGCGAACUUUCCAGAGAUGGAUUGGUGCCUUCGGGAACGCACAGACAGGUGCUGCAUGGCUGUCGUCAGCUCGUGUUGUGAAAUGUUGGGUUAAGUCCCGUAACGAGCGCAACCCUUGUCCCUAUUUGCCAGCGAUUCGGGCGGGAAACC
rnacentral:rRNA from 1 species